rnacentral:lncRNA from 1 species
CCCACCUCCCUAUCUCUUUUAAAACAGUUCAAAAUAUGUCUUAUUCGCGUGAGAGGAUAAAGAUUAGUGGUUGCACAUUUGAAUUCAAAUCAAAUUUGAAUUCAAAUGCAAACCAACUCAUCCCUAUCCACUUGGGCGUGAGAAGAGAAGGUGUGUGGCUGCUUUGUGCAUAGAAAGGUUUCAUGAGAAACUCUUUCUCGUGUAAGAAAUGGGGCGCUAAAGAAGAUAAGAACAUGGCACAUGGAUUGGUUGCUCAUUCAAAUUCAAUCUUUCUUUUGAAUUUGAAUGGCCAACCAACCAUCCUUGUCCACCUAUAUAGUGCACAAAUGUGGGGCGUGGGAAGGGCUUUGUGUGAGAAAAAAUUCAUGAGAAGUUCCUUCUCGUGAAUUCAAAUGGGCACAGAGAUAUGAAGUGGCGUAGGGAUUCAAAUUCAAAUGGUGGUUUAAUCUUAAUUGAACCCACCUAAUCAGAAUAGGUUAAGCACAAUUAGACUAAAUUAAAUCCAACUUAAUUAGGCUUAAUUAGGCUCAAUAAAAUUCUAAUCAAAUCAGGAAUGACUAAGCCCA